rnacentral:lncRNA from 1 species
CUUGGUACAACCCAAAGUCAUUAUUCUCUUUGGUUUGCUCAACCAAAACAUUACUCUGAGGGUCUACAAGAAGAUAAAAAAAUAAGAAACUGUAUCAAGAAUUAUGUAAAAAACAAUACAAAAAUAUCUUCUGGUGUUGAGGGAAUUGCAUGUAUAGAGAUUCAAAAAAGAAUUGAUGUGAUUCAAGUAAUAAUAUAUAUGGGAUUCACAAAAUUAUCAAUAGAAAGUAAACCUAAACGAAUCGAGGAAUUACAGAUAAAUGUACAAAAAGAACUAAAUUGUGUGAACCGAAAACUCAAUAUUUCUAUUACAAGAAUUUCAAACUCUUAUGGGCACCCUAAUAUUCUUGCAGAAUUUAUAGCCGGGCAAUUAAAGAAUAGAGUUUCAUUUCGCAAAGCAAUGAAAAAAGCUAUUGAAUUAACUGAACAGGCGGAUACAAAAGGAAUUCAAGUACAAAUUGCGGGGCGUCUUGACGGAAAAGAAAUUGCACGCGUCGAGUGGAUUAGAGAGGGUAGGGUUCCUCUAUAAACCAUUCGGGCUAAAAUUGAUUAUUGUUCAUAUACAGUUAGAACAAUUUAUGGGGUAUUAGGCAUAAAAAUUUGGACAUUUCUAGACAAAAAAUAAUAAACCCUUACUUGACUUGUCUUUACAUUCUAUCUAUUGAUAAAACAAAAAUGACAAACUCUUUGAUUCUUUUUUUUAUUAUUAUUAAAAAAAAAAAGAAUCAAUUCGAAUUAUAUUUCUAUAGGGUUGAAUAAAAUAAAAAAUUCGAUUGAUAAUUUGAUAUAAUUGCUAUGCUUAGUGUGUGACUCAUUGGUUUUUUAGGUUCGGGAUUAAAAAAAAGGACUGACUCAUACUAUGAACUAAUAAGUAUAAAUAUAAAACUAAUAACCAAAUACAACUAAUAACCAACUCAUCGCUUUACAUUAUCUAGAUCCAAGGAAAGAUUCAAGAUAUGAUAUAUUGCUCAUAUUUUUAUUUAUUAUUGGAGCAAUUAAAAUCCUUUUUGCAUAAAUAAAACAAAAAACAAAAGAAAAACCAAUCUGAUUUGAUUAAGAGUUGUAAAUCAAAAUAAAAAUUAUGCGGAUAAAUGGAAGGGUGAAAGAAAGAGAGAAAAAAAUAUCAAUGAUCUAUGAUUCCGAUAUGUAAGGUCUAUGAAUCAUCAGAUAAAGGCUAAUGUACUAAAGCAUCAAUACCAAUUGAUCUAUAAUGAAAUUAAUUCAUUCAUAAAAAAAAUCAAGAGCCUCGAGCCAAUAAAGACUGAGAAGAUUGACUCAAGAACAAAUCAAAUUAGGGGCUCCAUUGUAAAAUUAAGACCUAACCAUUAAUGGAGAAGCGAUGGGAACAACGAAACCUGUAAAUAUAUAAGAUUUUAUUGAAAACAAAUCUUAAUGAUUUAUUGGGAGGAUAGCGAAAGGAACCAAAAGACAAUCCAUUUAUUCUGAAGGAUUGUGGAUUAGCUCUACAAAACAAAUAAAAUAAAUAUUGAAAGAGUGAAUAUUCGCCCGCGAAAUUUUUUAUAUUAUUGGAUUUCUAAAUUUUAGCAAUCUGAUAUCAUAAUUAUAUAUAUAUAUAUAUAUAUAUAUAUAUAUAUACCAAUUUCUAUUUCUAUUCUAAUAAUCUAAUAAAAUAGAAAAUAAUCUAAUAAAUAGAUUAGAAAUAGAUUAGAUUAAGUAAAUAAAUUAAGUGAAAUCUUAAAGAAUCCCAUGAUUUAGUAUAUUAUUCAUCAAACACAUAUAAAUACAUUUCAUUCGCGAGGAGCUAGAUGAGAAGAAAUUCUCAUGUCCGGUUCUGUAGUAGAGAUGGAAUUGAGAAAUAACCAUCAACUAUAACCCAAAAAGAACCCGAUUCCGUAAAUAACAUAGAGGAAGAAUGAAAGGAAUAGCUUUUCGAGGUAAUCGUAUUUGUUUCGGCAAAUAUGCACUUCAGGCACUUGAACCCCCUUGGAUUACAUCUAGACAAAUAGAAGCGGGACGACGGGCAAUGACACGAAAUGCACACCGCGGUGGAAAAAUAUGGGUACGCAUAUUUCCCGACAAACCAGUUACAUUAAGACCUACGGAAACACGUAUGGGUUCGGGGAAAGGAUCUCCUGAAUAUUGGG